CGUUCUAUGGCCGAACUGGUGAAGGCAUCGCCGAUAACAGGCGAAGAUGCGGGUUCAAGUCCCGUUGGAACGG
rnacentral:tRNA from 1 species